CCUACGUGGCGCUGCAGUGGGGAAUAUUGGACAAUGGGCGAAAGCCUGAUCCAGCCAUGCCGCGUGUGUGAAGAAGGCCUUCGGGUUGUAAAGCACUUUCAGUGGGGAAGAAAGCCUUGGGGCUAAUACCCUCGAGGAAGGACAUCACCCACAGAAGAAGCACCGGCUAACUCCGUGCCAGCAGCCGCGGUAAUACGGAGGGUGCGAGCGUUAAUCGGAAUUACUGGGCGUAAAGCGCGCGUAGGCGGUCUGAUAAGCCGGUUGUGAAAGCCCCGGGCUCAACCUGGGAACGGCAUCCGGAACUGUCAGGCUAGAGGGCAGGAGAGGAAGGUAGAAUUCCCGGUGUAGCGGUGAAAUGCGUAGAGAUCGGGAGGAAUACCAGUGGCGAAGGCGGCCUUCUGGACUGACACUGACGCUGAGGUGCGAAAGCGUGGGUAGCAAACAGGAUUAGAUACCCGUAGUAGUC
rnacentral:rRNA from 1 species